AGAAAAUUAGUUAAAGAUUCAUAAUACAUGUUUGUCAAGCAUGAGUUGCUAAAUACGCUUAGCAUUUUCUU
rnacentral:tRNA from 1 species